GUGAGUUCCAGCACUGCCGAAAUACAAAGUGUGAUAACUGUGUUCUAUUGUAGCGUGUCUAUUGUUUGUUUAAACAAACAUUUAGUGCGAUCAAAGUGUUAAUGUUAAUGUUAAUGUGCGUUACUUGGAGCGACGGAUAUCUAAUCGGCGGAGGAGAUGAUGGUGUGUUCUUGGGCCAGGCGUCGUCGUGAAGUAAAGGAGACCCAUCAUUCUCAGCGCUGACUCUCUAUUUCUAAGCCGCCAGUCUAAGCAAUACCUGUCAUGAGCCGAACGAACGAGCGACCAGCAAUUGUAUUCUACAGAUGCAACAUACAAUGGUUGGCGACUUACGCGACUGGCUGGCUGAUAAGUUGCGCAAUCCGCUUGCGUCAUCCCGAGAUAAAGACGGAGUUUAAGUCGGCGUGGAGUGCACGACAAUGCCUUGACCGACAGCCAUGCCGCCACCGCGUGCUAUCUGCAUCUCGCACCCUAACUCCAAUCGGUUAUGUCUGUAGUAUCUGUAUCUUCUUUUUUUCGCAGGGGUACUUAUUAUGGCAGUGGUAGUGGUCGGGGUCUCGGGGGGAAUCGGGCGGUAUCGGGAGAAUCGAGGGGUCACAGCACCAUGUGUGACAGGGCCAACGCAAUUGAGAAACAAUUUCGCAGAGGAGCAAAUCAACGUUUAACCAGAUGCGACAGACACACACACACAGAAUGAGACGGAGACCCAAAACUUUGACUGCACGUUGUCUAUAUAAAUGCGACACGAACUGUUUAGCUUCGACUGAUGUCGCUGCCGUGGCUGCCAUCAUUGUUGCAGUCGCAGUUGCUGCAGCAUGCCACUGAAAUCAGUGCUGCAUGGUGCUUGCUGCAUGCUGCAUGCUGAACGCUCAAGAAACCCAUUGCCAACCGUGUCCGAGCAUCGUUCCAAGAGUCUGCUCGGUGUUUAAAUUAAAGUCUCAGUUUGCGUUGGCGUGUGCACUCCGUUUAUCUGAAGCCAGCCACCACAGUGCACUGCGAGAAAGCGAGACGAUGGGAAACGUAAAAACAAUUUAGUAAUUGUAAACGGCUGUGGAAUAUCGAUUGAGUUUAAAAUGAUUCUUAUCAUAAGUAAUGUUCAAAUCACAAUGCCCUGCCCUUUUCUUGAAGUGCAUGUUGGCCAAUGUGGAUUUUUGCGUGUUUGAUUUUCCUGUCACGUUCCAGCUAACAACAUAAGGAAGCAGCCGAAUGCUAGGCAGUCUUUGUGCCCAUCCCUCCCUUGGCUCCCCGAUUCCUCGGUUUGUGUCUGCGGCAGUUCCCUGCGCGACAGUCAGGCAGUCGACUCGGAGUCGAAUUCGGAUCUGGAUUCAGACCUUAGACUGGAGACAAGUCGGGGCACCAUAACCAAGCCGCCGCCGCCGUGCCAACUCCGUAAGUUGUCAGCGGCAAUUUGAAUGGCACGUGGGAUGUGAGUGAAAGGGAAAGGGGGAGAGAGAGAUUCAAGGAAGGAUAGAUGCGACAUGGGACGGUGUAUCUAGAAGUUCGUCUCGCUGUCACUCAGGUCGCUGACUUUGAUUGCAAUGCGCCAAGGAUGCCUCCAAAUCAGAUUCAGAAUCCGACUACGAAUGCGAUUCACUGCUGCUGAUGCUGGCUGAUGCUGAUGCAUCCUCAAUCCGGUCGUUGUCGCUUGAACUAACAUUGCUGAAACUGUCAACUGGAUGGAAGGUGGGUCGCAGUCGCAGUCGCAGUCGAAUUCUCAGCUCCUGCCCCAGCUGCUGCAGCCCGCUUAAUGUGGCGGCAACAAGUCAAUAGAUUCCGUUGCAAGGUGCUAUGCCAAAAGAUGGAUGGGUGGUGGGGAAAGGGGAAUGGGAAAGGGGUGUGAGGAGAAGAAGCAGAAGCCAGGUACCGCUGCAAGUAUGUAUAACGUUGCCUACUGACGUGAGACAAUUACGUGAGCAAAUUGCAAAAUAUUUGCCUGGGUGAAUGCGACAUGUGAGACAUUCGAUCGAUGGGCGCAUGCUGCUCAGAUAAGUGACUUGGGCGAGCGACGUAAGGAGAUUAAAUCAAUUAUAUGGAAAUUAUGAAAACUCAAUUUGCAGGAAAAUUCAAGUGAUCUAGGACAUCACGCCAACAGCUCAGCCCCAAUGUCCGCCAUCCCCAUCGCCUAAUCUCGGCGAGAACAGCGAGGCUAAUAAGCCAUAAAAUAUCCAGAAAUUACGUUAACUACGUAAAGAACCUAGGAACUGAACGCAAUUACUCCUCGUUUCAAUAUAAUACGGCGACGUGACACAUUUACGUGAGUAGGUUACGCGACGUAGCCGGAAUUCAUUCCAUCCCAGUUGAGAAUGGAGAACGGAGAACGGAGAACAGAGAGCAGGCAGCUUUCCCGGAAGGCAUUACAAUGGCCGUACCGUCAUGCUAUCUACGGCCGGACAGCUAUACGUAUGUACCUUUUUACGGAACGCAGGACGCAGGGAUGGCGGGAUGACGGGAUGACGGGAUAACGGAAUGGCGGAAUAACGGCAUGGGCGGCAACGUAAGCAAACAGUGCCGGCAAAAAGCAAACAACGGAAAGUGAGAAGUGCCACAAAAACGGCAGCAAAUGGCUGCCACUCGCAGUUGCAAUAGCACCACAAGCAAAGCAAUAGCAAUGGCAAUGGCAAUAGCAAUAGCACUGGAAACGGCAACAAGGGCCAGCGACAAACAAAGGCAACAGCAAAGUCACCAAAAAGGUGGGGCGGCGGCCAGGGGCGUGGCAUUGGGGGGCUGGGGGGUGGUGGGACGGUGAUGUUGGGUGGAUGAAUAAGCGUAACAAACUUGGUGGGUCAAAAAUACACAGUGGAAAUAAAGUCAUGCGCUUAAUUGGUCGAGUUUGAAAGAAAGACCCAUUCCUGGUCCUCACCUGCACUCUAGUGAUACGUUUCCCAUUAUAAUGGGUAACAUUUAGGCUACCCGUUGAUGUAAUAUGCUUAGCUAUUCGAUAGACUUGAGAUUGUUUUGAAUUCAAUUUCAAUAAUUCAGAGUAGGAAUAUGGCUUUUGCAAAGUGUUGGCCAUUCUGUAGGCCAGACUCUCAGAUCCGCACGGUGUGGUUCGCUCGGUUUUGGUCUCCAUUUGAUGGCGACUCUUUGGUUUGGUUUUCAGUUUUCAGUUUUCCUUUUUCUGUUUUCUGCUUUCGCCUUCUUGUUCUUGUUCUGGCCAUACGAUGUUUUUUCGCCCUUUUGUAGCUUUGAAAAGCACAAAGGCGAGCGAACCACUAGGAACCAGUGCCAGUAACCACCGCCUGGCAGAACCACCUUGUGACCGAGCCAACUGCCUCAAUUUGCAUAUGGAAUUUAUGCUUUUGAUGACGCGGGCGACGCCGUCCAAAGUCAACUGCAUGUUAAUGAAACCCGAAUGCAUAAGUAAGCCCCCUUUCCUUUCCUCUCUUCAUUUUCCAUUCCCCAGCGACACAGCGAGAAAUUGAGAACCAAUCCGUUCGAUUCUCGAACAUCGCUUCGUAUAAAAAUAAGCUUAUAGCAGAAAGAAAGACAGAUUCUUUUCUAUUGACUUGAUGGACCAGGAAAACUUGCUAUUGUUGAGCAGUUUGGCCUUUUUUUUGCUCUGUGCAGCAUUGAAAGAAAAUCCCGCGCAAACAUCUGCCCCACCGGCCCCUCUUUUAUCACGAUUUUUUUCAUGCCGCCGUGCAUUUUUGAAAAGCGAAAAGUUCAAGGAUUGCUGCAGAGACGUCGUGCGCUUAGAUUCUGUGCAGAUUUGGGUGCCCCACAGUGGCCAGGUAACCCCAAAAAGCAACAAUCACAACAGCAGCCACGGCAGCCUAAAGGCUAAAGCCAAAAGCCAAAGCCAAAAGUCGAACCACGGACAUCGAAAACAUGCAACGAGGUGGGGCAUUGGGCUUUUUGGGAGCACUAGGCAGUCAUCAGGAAGAAUUGCUUUAGAAUCAAAUGCCAUGGAAAAUGGAAUAGUCUAGUAAGUAGAUUGCCUAACCAGCAUAUACCUCGACAGUCUUGGGUUGCAAGGAAAAUGUUAUCACAAUCUAAGUACGGCUCAAAGUCUCACCUAUGUAUCUAUCCCAACGAUCCAUAAUGCAAUAACCGAUUUUAAACAAUCCGUUUAGUGUAACUCCGUUUUUGGAGUUGGAUGAGGGCAUAGUUAAAUAAAUGCCAAGAUACUGUCACUGUUAGUCCGCAGGAAAUGUCAAAGUUGAACCCAUCGAUCGAUUCUAAUGUAGAACUAACAUUCAAGAUGUAGAACCACGCUAGCAAUUCUGCAGAUUAGAUUUGCUGGCUGGCUAAGUUCAAAGAUCUCUUCUAAGUCAAAAGCCGAGACUUAGAGGACUGGACUGGAAGGGAGACCAAAUACCAGAGACCAAAGAGCUCCCCCAAUGCGUUGCCUUUCACUUGCAACUCGCAACUGGCAACUGCGCCGAUGGUAAAGUAAAAUUGCUUUAUGUUGUGUCUCUUAUUUCCCAGUGUCAACUUUGAAAUGUAACGGACUGUGGUGGGGAAGGCAUUCGUCACUUGGCGUUCGGCUCGCUGCACGACAAACAUCCAAUUAAGCUAUAAAAAUCUUAAUUUAAUUAUUUGCCACACGAACAAAGCCGCAGAACGAACGAGCGCCGGAUGAUGGAGAUUCGAGUUCGAGUUAGAGUUAGAGUUUGCAGAUGGAGAUGACGUUGGCGGUGGCGGUGGCGAUGGCGAUGGCGAGGUGAUGCAGUUGAAGUUGGCUUUCAGAAGACGGAAUAUAUAUGGCACUGGUGGUGGUCGAGAAGGAGCCAAAGCCAGAGCCAGAGCCAGAGCAUUUGCCAUUCACAUCCCCAUUCGCAUUUUCAGUUUGGUGAACGAGUGCAGCGCGAGAUGACGACAACGAUUUAUGGUGGCCGGUUUUUCUUCAUUUGGGCCCUGCUCCGAGCACCAAGCACCGAGCUCCAAACUCCGAGCAAUGGCAAAAAGCAAGAAGCCAAGGCAAGCCCAAAAGCAAAAGGCAAAAUGCACAGAAAUCAAAUAGCAAGAGCACGAGCUGCCAAGCAGCCAAGCAAGCGAGCAAACGAGCAACAAGGCAGCAGGCAGGCAGGCAACAUGCAUUUUUCAUGAAUUAGUUCACAUAUAAAAGUCAAAUGCAGCACCGGAGUUGGAAAACGGGACCGGAAAAACGGGGGCGGGCGAAACAACGGGAGUCGGCUGGAGUUGGCUGGCUGGAGGCACAUAAACAGAUUUUGUGGUCGUGGCACACACCGAGAAAAAAUGCGACAAAACCGUACAAGAACCCACAACGAGUGCAAUCAAAAGAGCAGAGAAGGCGGCCGAAGGGAGCUCCUGGAUAUUCCGGCAUUGACGAGUUAAAUGGCAAUCCCCAUACCAAUCCAGACAUAGGAAACGCAUUCCAAUCCCAAGUUGCAAAGGUAAAUCAAAUGUUGCUUCGAGCCACAGCUUGUGCCACGUGCCCAUCCCCAUUUUGUUAGCUGUGGCACCUGCUUAUUUUGAUUCUUCGCUGCAUAAUUAAUGAAAUGAAAGCAGCUCAGCGCCCCUUUCUGCCCCUUUGUCAUCUUUCUGUGCCAUAAAUUAGACGAUGCAGGAAAGGAGGAGCCAAGUCAGCUGAAUUUGGUUAACAAUUUCAGGAAGGAGAUAAUGUGCAGCCGAUAAUGCGAAUAGCUUCUGGGCGAAAAUACAUUUUGAAUGAAAGGUACGGUCCGGCCGUAGCGAAUCGAAAUCAAAGCGAACUGCCCCCGCCUGCCCGCCUGCCCGCCUGCUCGCCUGACUGACUGACCCAAAAUCGGGAAGUCAACCUGUAUCUCCCUGGCAUCCAGAUCCAAGAGGCAAAAGCUCAGUCAGCAGGAUAAAGCGAAGCGUUUAAUGCGAGCUUGUUGUUUGGCUGGUUGGUUUGUUUGUUGCUAUAUUCGUUGUUGGCAUGCCCGUUGGCCAUUUUACGGAGCCAGCCACUUGACACAACAAGAGAAGAGUGCAGAACGGGAUGGCAGGAGUUCGUAUGAUUCUGCGCGGGGGGAAGGGGAGGUAGGAGAGCACGGUGAACGGAACAUUGAGCAAGUUAAAAUAUAAUAAACAAACAUAAAAAGGCAUAUGCCUGCGUAUGCUUUUCUUUUUAUGGCAAACAAUCCAACAAACAGAGCCGAAACACAUUCACGUCUGGAAAAUGGAUGCGAAAUGUUAUUCGGCGAGGAAAUGACCGAGUUGAAAACGGGGCUUACCGCUUCUGGACAAAUGCCAUCGAUCUGAUUUCAUUCUGUUUCUUAAAUAAUUGUACAUCUCAAAUUAACUACAACUAAGAAAUAUACUCUUUGUGUCUCCGACAGCCAACUUAAUACUGGUCUGCAAAAGCUCACCUGAUAGAUGCCACGUGCCACGCAGGCUGAGGAACUUUGGGGCAAAACUGGCCGUCUGAUGCUGCUGCUGAGGACCUCGAUGUUGCUGCUGUGGUGCUGCAAUGAAAUCCAGGGUAGAGUUGAUUAAAAAAAAAAAACCAAAAUAAAUUGAAGCCAAAGGCAGGGCAUUGUCCUUUGGUCUAACCUCUAAGCAUUUUAA